rnacentral:rRNA from 1 species
AAAUUGAAGAGUUUGAUCAUGGCUCAGAUUGAACGCUGGCGGCAGGCCUAACACAUGCAAGUCGAGCGGAAACGAGUUAUCAGAACCUUCGGGGGACGAUAACGGCGUCGAGCGGCGGACGGGUGAGUAAUGCCUAGGAAAUUGCCCUGAUGUGGGGGAUAACCAUUGGAAACGAUGGCUAAUACCGCAUGAUGCCUUUGGGCCAAAGAGGGGGACCUUCGGGCCUCUCGCGUCAGGAUAUGCCUAGGUGGGAUUAGCUAGUUGGUGAGGUAAGGGCUCACCAAGGCGACGAUCCCUAGCUGGUCUGAGAGGAUGAUCA